rnacentral:rRNA from 1 species
AUGAACGCUGGCGGCGUGCCUAAUACAUGCACGUCGAGCGAACAGACGAGGAGCUUGCUCCUCUGAUGUUAGCGGCGGACGGGUGAGUAACACGUGGAUAACCUACCUAUAAGACUGGGAUAACUUCGGGAAACCGGAGCUAAUACCGGAUAACAUGUUGAACCGCAUGGUUCAACAGUGAAAGACGGUCUUGCUGUCACUUAUAGAUGGAUCCGCGCCGCAUUAGCUAGUUGGUAAGGUAACGGCUUACCAAGGCAACGAUGCGUAGCCGACCUGAGAGGGUGAUCGGCCACACUGGAACUGAGACACGGUCCAGACUCCUACGGGAGGCAGCAGUAGGGAAUCUUCCGCAAUGGGCGAAAGCCUGACGGAGCAACGCCGCGUGAGUGAAGAAGGUCUUCGGAUCGUAAAACUCUGUUAUUAGGGAAGAACAAAUGUGUAAGUAACUAUGCACGUCUUGACGGUACCUAUCAGAAAGCCACGGCUAACUACGUG